GCCAGGUAUGGCAGUGCAUGCCUAUAGUCCCAGAUACUUCGGAGGCUGAGGUAGGAGGAUGGCUUGAGCCCAGGGGGCAGAGGUUGCAGUGAGCUGAGAUCAAGCCACUGCACUCCAGCCUGGGCAACACAGCCAGACCCUGUCUCAA
rfam:Pan troglodytes isolate Yerkes chimp pedigree #C0471 (Clint) chromosome 1, whole genome shotgun sequence.